UGUUUAAAUUAAUUUGAUAUCUCAAAAAAUACUCUUCCUACUAACAGUUGUUCUAAAACAAGAGAAAAGGGACCAAUUUGAACUAUUUGAAUGGAAAUUUUUUGUAACGACCUGCUUGGUACAUUUGAGCUUUUAGCCUUGUUUUCCCCAAAAUACCCUUCUCAUAGUCUCAUCUUGGUAUUUAUGACUUGCGGGGAUGGGUGGUGUGGUCCUCGAGGUAAUCGGGUGAGUUUCAGAUCAGCUUUAGCAGAAUUGGAAGUUCUAAAGUUAAGAAAAUGAAGAAGUUUGACCAAAGUCAACAUUUGGGGUAAAUGCAUCAUUUUUAAAGCUUAGUCGAUUCCAUUAGGUUCGGAGUGUGAUUUUUGACUUAGUUGAUAUGUUGGUUCGGGUCCCGAAGCAUUCAGGUGUGAUUUGGAUCGUUUGUUGAAAAUCUAGAAUUUUGAAGAAUUGGAGUUGACCUUGGUCAACAUCGGGUCAAGACGACAUCUUUUCGGUGUUUUGAGUGUGCGAGCAUGUUCGUAGCAUGUUUUAUGAUUGAAAUGCAUACAUGAUUUGUAUCCAAGAGAUUUAAGAUGAGUUUCUGGUGCUAAACUAAGAUUUAACGAUUGUUGAAUUUUCUGGUGCAACAAUUUCAAAUUGCCGAUUAUGCCCUAAGUUCGUCUUUAAAUUUCAGACUUAUGUUAAAAUUUCAAAACAUCAUAUCUCUCUCAUUUUAAGGCUAAAUUAGGUGAAUCAAAAGGCUAUCCUGGGUGGAAUCUCACAAGGAGCAUUUUGGGCUUGUUAAAGGUGAGUUUCGUGAUCAUCUAGCAUCUGAUUCGGGGCCGGACAGCUGCUGUAUUUUUUGUUUUUUGUUUCUUGUUUCGCGACUUUUUCUCACAAGUUUGGGAGCUCGGAUUGAAGCGAUUUCAAGGAAUUCUUCUCGUAUUUUCUUCGGGAUAAAUCUAAACCUUAUUUCAUGUUACUCCAUAGAUUUCUUACAUUAUUUAGAGUUGAUUUCAUUGUUGGGUGUUGGUUGGGUUUUUUACCAUAAGUUGAAUUUUCGGAAAAAUAAGAAAUUGAAGAUCAAGAUGGAGUCAUUUUUACUGGGUUUUCUAGAUUUAAGUUCCUUGAGCUGAGGGCAAACUAUUUUGAAAGGAAAAGUCUUAUUUGGUCAUCGGAGUGCGGGGCCACUUUUUUGAGUUUUUAAUGCCCUAAGUUAAAAAUAUGAAUUUCUUCAAAUUGGAAAUCGAAUUGAAGUCGGUUUUGAGUCAUUUUCUGGAUUUAGACUUUAUAGUUUAUGGAUAAAUCUAUUUUGCAAAAAUUCUAGUUUUUUCCUUGUGGGCUCGGAGUUACCUUUUUUGAUCCGUUUUUGGGUUUCAAUCAAAGUAUAGCAAUAUGGGUGUCUACGGACUCGUUCCUUACGAAUAGCGCGUAGUUAAUAGAUUGGGAAUGUUCUGAAGCUUUACUGGAAGGAAAGGUGAAAUCUUGAAGGUUCGUGACGCAUUUGCUCAGCAUUCGAGGUUUAUAUGAUUUAGAAGUGAUCGGAAAAGAAACCAAGUGAAAACAAGUCAAAAGGAGGUCAAAUUGAAGAAAACGAAAAAAGUGGCUAAAUCUGCAAAAACGGGACAGAUCUGCAAUUCUGAAAAUCAGUGGUUAUUUUGUUCUAAUUUUGAUUGGGAAAAUUGUGGGACUAUAAAAAGAAGAUAAGAGAGAAAAUAUUGUCAUCUUUGGUCAUUUCAUACAAGUCUUGGAGAGCUUAGGGUUUUUGCACCACACUUUGGGGUUGAAGAUUUGAAGAUUGAGUUGAGAACUUUCUGAAACUUUUCUCCAUUUUUUUGAUUCCUUGCUUUGUAAUGAAUAUUUAAGUGUGUAGUUUUUCAUUUCAAUGCUUGAAACUUGUUUAUGAAAA